rnacentral:rRNA from 1 species
AGCAGCCGCGGUAAUUCCAGCUCCAAUAGCGUAUAUUAAAGUUGUUGCAGUUAAAAAGCUCGUAGUUGAAUUUUAGGCCUGGCCGGGCGGUCCGUCUUUGGCGAGUACUGUCUGCUGUCGGGUCUUCCUUCUGGUGAGCCAGCAUGUCCUUUAUUGGGUGUGUUGGGGAGCCAGGACCAUUACCUUGAAAAAAUUAGAGUGUUUAAAGCGGGCUAUUGCUUGAAUAGAUUAGCAUGGAAUAAUAGAAUAGGACGUUGUGGUUCUAUUUUGUUGGUUUCUAGGACCACCGUAAUGAUUAAUAGGGAUAGUUGGGGGCAUUAGUAUUCAAUUGUCAGAGGUGAAAUUCUUGGAUUUAUUGAAGACUAACUACUGCGAAAGCAUUUGCCAAGGAUGUUUUCAUUAAUCAAGAACGAAAGUUAGGGGAUCGAAGACGAUCAGAUACCGUCGUAGUCUUAACCAUAAACUAUGCCGACUAGGAAUCGGGCGACGUUAUUUUAAUGACUCGCUCGGCGCCUUAUG